CCUACGGGUGGCAGCAGUGAGGAAUAUUGGUCAAUGGGCGCGAGCCUGAACCAGCCAAGUAGCGUGAAGGAUGACUGUCCUACGGGUUGUAAACCUCUUUUAUCAGGGAAUAAAGUGAGGCACGCGUGCCUUUUUGUGUGUACUUUAUGAAUAAGGAUCGGCUAACUCCGUGCCAGCAGCCGCGGUAAUACGGAGGAUUCGAGCGUUAUCCGGAUUUAUUGGGUUUAAAGGGAGCGUAGGUGGGUUGUUAAGUCAGGUGUGAAAGUUUGCGGCUCAACCGUAAGAUUGCAGUUGAUACUGGCAGUCUUGAGUACAGGAGAAGUAGGCGGAAGGCGUGGUGGAGCGGUGAAAUGCUUAGAUAUCACGAAGAACUCCGAUUGCGAAGGCAGCAUAC
rnacentral:rRNA from 1 species